rnacentral:lncRNA from 12 species
ACAAAAAUUACUGCAAUAUGCAAAGAGUUUCACAGAGUUAUCAAAGGAGCAGCAUGCCUGGCCAAUACUUACAGUACAGCCUUGCAAAGCAGAAAUGGAAAAAACCAGAGAACAGACUGACCUGAAUUCAAAGAACCUGACAACAAGCCCAGUUGUUGAAAGACUGUGACACAGAAACCUCACAGUGGGAUCUCUGAAGGAAGGAGACCUUGGCAAAGAAAGGUGGGCAUACUGUUUGUAUUCCAUAGUCUCUUGGGUAUCACUAUCACUAGAUCCAUUACAUGUUGCUGAGAUCUCAAACUGCCAAACAUAGGAAAUAUAUUGUAAGUGGUAUUUAAAAGUUUUGUUAAACUGU